AUUGAACGCUGGCGGCAUGCUUUACACAUGCAAGUCGAACGGUAACGCGGGGGCAACCCUGGCGACGAGUGGCGAACGGGUGAGUAACACAUCGGAACGUAUCCUGGAAUGGGGGAUAACCUAUCGAAAGGUAGGCUAAUACCGCAUACGCUCGGGAGAGGAAAGUGGGGGAUUCGCAAGGACCUCACGUUUUAGGAGCGGCCGAUGUCCGAUUAGCUAGUUGGUGGGGUAAAGGCUUACCAAGGCGACGAUCGGUAGCUGGUCUGAGAGGAUGAUCAGCCACACUGGGACUGAGACACGGCCCAGACUCCUACGGGAGGCAGCAGUGGGGAAUUUUGGACAAUGGGGGCAACCCUGAUCCAGCCAUGCCGCGUGAGUGAAGAAGGCCUUCGGGUUGUAAAGCUCUUUCAGCCGGAAAGAAAUCGCACUGGUUAAUACCUUGUGUGGAUGACGGUACCGGAAGAAGAAGCACCGGCUAACUACGUGCCAGCAGCCGCGGUAAUACGUAGGGUGCGAGCGUUAAUCGGAAUUACUGGGCGUAAAGCGUGCGCAGGCGGUUUUGUAAGACAGAUGUGAAAUCCCCGGGCUUAACCUGGGAACUGCAUUUGUGACUG
rnacentral:rRNA from 1 species